rnacentral:lncRNA from 1 species
ACUUGUUUGUCACGUAUUUAAGGGAUAAAUUAAUAAUUAGAUAAAACCAGGCAUAACAGACCAAAUUAUCAUUACACUUAAGGUUUGAGUUUACAUCAUAAUUUGAAGAACACAAAAGUCUACUACCACUCGUCUAGUGCUAACAUGUCCAAAAGUCACAUUUCCUAUUCGCAUGAUCAGAAAGUCCACCAAAAAGAAACUCCGUCAACCAUGUACGUAAUCUUGUGCAAUUAAUAAUCACUUAGUGAUUAGCAGGAUGGAUCAUCAAUACGACCAUCAAUAGGAUCAUCAGCAGGAUCAUCACCAGAUAAAUAAUUCAACACCCAACGUGCGAGGUAUUCCUCACCCAUGCUCAUAACAUGAAUAUGAGCUAGAUCCAUCUGAGUACAAAAUAACAUGAAUAAGAUAGUUGUGCAUAAAAAAUCCGAGUAGAAUAUUUUAGAUCUGUCUAAGUACGAAAUAAGAAGAUUUUUUUUUUCGAGAAACUAUAAGAAGAUUAAUUUAGAUCCAUCUUUUUUUAACCAUGAACUAGAAUUGUUUAUUGCUGCAAAUCAAACUCCCUACAGAUUCUUCUGUCAUGGAAAGCAAAAAGGGGAGAAGCAACAAGGAAAAAACAUGGGAUUGUGUACUCACGUACCUGAUUUACACACGGUCUGGACAAAGGUGCUACAAAAGGAAGGAAUAGUGGCAGGCAAAAUUGCAGCCAACGUUGUCAGAUCCAGUAGAUCUUGGAGCAGCUCUCCACCGGAUCUACACCUCAGAGAGUCAGAGUAGUUUCCCGCCGGCAGUCCCCAACUCCAUGGAUUGAUUUUUGGAUUUCUCUCCUCCGUAGGAACCCUAAGGGAAAGGGGAAAAGUGAGAGGGAGAGUGGAAAAGUGAGAGAGAAGGGGUAAUUUGACUCGGGCACGGUGCGUGGGAUUGCAGCGAUUCUCAGGCCUCCGAUUUUCCAGGCCCGAGCCAGACACGGUUCGACAGGCAGG